rnacentral:rRNA from 1 species
AUUGAACGCUGGCGGCAGGCUUAACACAUGCAAGUCGAGCGGGGUGAUGGUGCUUGCACUAUCACUUAGCGGCGGACGGGUGAGUAAUGCUUAGGAAUCUGCCUAUUAGUGGGGGACAACAUCUCGAAAGGGAUGCUAAUACCGCAUACGUCCUACGGGAGAAAGCAGGGGAUCACUUGUGACCUUGCGCUAAUAGAUGAGCCUAAGUCGGAUUAGCUAGUUGGUGGGGUAAAGGCCUACCAAGGCGACGAUCUGUAGCGGGUCGGAGAGGAUGGUCCGCCAACCUGGGACUGAGACACGGCCCAGACUCCUACGGGAGGCAGCAGUGGGGAAUAUUGGACAAUGGGGGGAACCCUGAUCCAGCCAUGCCGCGUGUGUGAAGAAGGCCUUAUGGUUGUAAAGCACUUUAAGCGAAGAGGAGGCUCUUUUGGUUAAUACCCAAGAUGAGUGGACGUUACUCGCAGAAUAAGCACCGGCUAACUCUGUGCCAGCCGCCGCGGUAA